UACAGAGGUCUCAACCGUUGUUCGGAUUCAUUGGGCGUAAAGGGUGCGUAGGCGGUCGCGCAAGUCGGAUGUGAAAUCUCAGGGCUCAACCCUGAAACUGCAUUCGAUACUGCGUGGCUAGAGUGCUGGAGGGGAGACUGGAAUUUACGGUGUAGCAGUGAAAUGCGUAGAUAUCGUAAGGAAGACCAGUGGCGAAGGCGAGUCUCUGGGCAACAACUGACGCUGAGGAGCGAAAGCGUGGGGAGCGAACAGG
rnacentral:rRNA from 1 species